GUCGCGCAGUUUCAUCCCUGCGCUACGUCAGGGCUUACGGACCAGAAAUUGGUGAAGGCGAGGGGUUUAAUGCCUAGAUCUGACCAUGCUACAGCUUUGCUCAAAAUUUUUU